UACGAAGGGGGCUAGCGUUGUUCGGAAUUACUGGGCGUAAAGCGCACGUAGGCGGAUUUUUAAGUCAGAUGUGAAAUCCCAAGGCUCAACCUUGGAACUGCAUUUGAAACUGGGAAUCUAGAGAUCAGGAGAGGUUAGUGGAAUACCGAGUGUAGAGGUGAAAUUCGUAGAUAUUCGGUGGAACACCAGUGGCGAAGGCGACUAACUGGACUGAUACUGACGCUGAGGUGCGAAAGUGUGGGGAGCAAACAGG
rnacentral:rRNA from 1 species